rnacentral:rRNA from 1 species
AGCAGUCGCCGCGGUAAUACGGAGGGUGCAAGCGUUAAUCGGAAUUACUGGGCGUAAAGCGCACGCAGGCGGUCUGACAAGUCAGAUGUGAAAUCCCCGGGCUUAACCUGGGAACUGCAUUUGAAACUGUCAGGCUGGAGUCUUGUAGAGGGGGGUAGAAUUCCAGGUGUAGCGGUGAAAUGCGUAGAGAUCUGGAGGAAUACCGGUGGCGAAGGCGGCCCCCUGGACAAAGACUGACGCUCAGGUGCGAAAGCGUGGGGAGCAAACAGGAUUAGAUACCCCUGUAGUCCCUGUCUCUUAUAU